UACGGGGGGGGCAAGCGUUGUUCGGAAUUACUGGGCGUAAAGGGCUUGUAGGUGGCCAACUAAGUCAGACGUGAAAUCCCUCGGCUUAACCGGGGAACUGCGUCUGAUACUGGAUGGCUUGAGUUUGGGAGAGGGAUGCGGAAUUCCAGGUGUAGCGGUGAAAUGCGUAGAUAUCUGGAGGAACACCGGUGGCGAAGGCGGCAUCCUGGACCAACACUGACGCUGAGGAGCGAAAGCCAGGGGAGCAAACGGG
rnacentral:rRNA from 1 species